GCCUAGGUAACUCAGGGGGUAGAGUGCUUGCUUGGUAAGCAAGCAGUCGCGGGUUCAAAUCCCGCCCUAGGCU
rnacentral:tRNA from 2 species